GAAGAAGAGAAAGACGAAGAAGAAACGAGGGUAAAACAUGUGGCUGAUAAUGAUAAUCUUAAUAAUGAUGAGACUCAAAGGAACGGGACGGGGCCAGCCUUCGCCUCGUCCUCUCGCUCCUUCUGUCCCGCUGGAACGAAGGAGAGGGAAAGGAAAGGAGAGGAAGGCUGGAGACGAGGGGAUGGCGGGACGCUCUUCUCGAACCCGCGUCCCCGCGCUCAGCGCCUCAACGCUCCCGACUUUUUCGGUCUUCCGACGCGGAUCGAGAAACCGACCGAGGAACGAACAAAGAAAUGUUACAAUUUUAUUUUAUUUUUUGCUUAUUAAAACCCGAGCAUGUGAUUCACAUUAUUAUUAUUAUUAUUACUAUUGCCAUUAUUAAGCUGGGGAUAAUUUUUGCUCUUUUGAAGCGGCAAUAAUCAGCAGUUGUAAUUUUCCUCUGUUGUGUGAACUCGCGCAGAAACACCUUCUAUAGCCUUAAGGACGUGCCUUCCAUGACAAUUGAAUUAAAAUUGUCUGCCCUGAGCAAUCGUACCGCGACGGAUAUGAAUAUGAUUACGCGUGUUUCUGGGUUUUUGAACGUGGGGAAAAAUCUGGUCUUGAGGGGUUUUAUGCGAGUGGAAAUUGGCAAAAAAAAAUCCACUUAUUUGCAUAAAAUAGUUUUUUUUCCCCCCUUUUUUUCCUUUUAAUUUAUCAAAAUUUUCUAUUGAUUUUUUUCCCCCUAGAUUGAAGUCUUCCUUUAAACGGUAAAUAAAUGAAAUUUGUUCCUUUAAGGGUUCCCUCCACAAACCGCCAACUCUGUAAAACGCACAGACACGCAAUGAGCCCUUGGCUCGGUGCCACAACGGUUGCUGUUGGUUGUUAACGAGUCUGGUAACCAGGGUAACGGUUGCUGUUGGUUGUUAACGAGUCAGGUAACCAGGUAACGGUGGUUGGUUGUUAACGAGUCAGGUAACCAGGUAACGGUUGCUGUUGGUUGUUAACGAGUCGCUCGGUACCAGGUAACGGUUGCUGUUGGUUGUUAACGAGUCGGGUAACCAGGUAACGGUUGCUGUUGGUUGUUAACGAGUCGGGUAACCAGGUAACGGUUGCUGUUGGUUGUUAACGAGUCGGGUAACCAGGUAACGGUUGCUGUUGGUUGUUAACGAGUCUGGUAACCAGGUAACGGUUGCUGUUGGUUGUUAACGAGUCGGGUAACCAGGUAACGGUUGCUGUUGGUUGUUAACGAGUCGGGUAACCAGGUAACGGUUGCUGUUGGUUGUUAACGAGUCUGGUAACCAGGUAACGGUUGCUGUUGGUUGUUAACGAGUCUGGUAACCGGGUAACGGUUGCUGUUGGUUGUUAACGAGUCGGGCCUGGUUUUAGACCCUCAGUCUCGCAGUGUUUCCGUGGAAGGCACAACAGAGCUGCUAACGAACAAGUGUUUUAACCAAAAAAUAAAAUCCGUUGUUUCUUUCUUUUUUAAAUUUUAAUUAUUAUUAUUAUUAUUAUUAUUAUUAUUUUCUUUUCUUUUUUUUAAAUAACCCUGGCUGGUGUAUCCCCAUAUUGGAACCAAUUAAAUCCUACAACUGAAUAGGACUUUUGCCUUAAUUAUUAGAGUAAUGAUUGUUGUAUUUUAUUACUUUGUACUGUUCCUCUUAAGCCAUACUGGCUGGUUGAUUAAUUGAUGGGGAAAAAUGAGAGUAGAUGAACUGUAGAUAGGAUGAUAGAUGCAGAUAGCGAAUGUAACGUCGAUCUGUAGUAAAUAUUUGUAAAAAACAUAAACGAGUAAAAAAAUGCAUAAAUAAUAGUCCUUCUUCCAGGCCCACGCUUUUCAAUUGCUUUUUACUCCCCCCCCCCCCCCCCC